GAUUAAGUUAUUAAGGGCGCACGGUGGAUGCCUUGGCACUAGAAGCCGACGAAGGACGUUACUAACGACGAUAUGCUUUGGGUAGCUGUAAGUAAGCGUUGAUCCAGAGAUUUCCGAAUGGGGGAACCCAGCACGAGUUAUGUCGUGUUAUCGACAAGUGAAUUCAUAGCUUGUCAGAAGGCAGACCCGGAGAACUGAAACAUCUUAGUACCCGGAGGAAGAGAAAGAAAAAUCGAUUCCCUGAGUAGCGGCGAGCGAAACGGGAAGAGCCCAAACCAAUAAGCUUGCUUAUUGGGGUUGUAGGACACUCUAUACGGAGUUACAAAGGAAUAUAUUAGACGAAUCAUCUGGAAAGUUGAAUCAAAGAAGGUAAUAAUCCUGUAGUUGAAAAUAUAUUCUCUCUUGAGUGGAUCCUGAGUACGACGGAGCACGUGAAAUUCCGUCGGAAUCUGGGAGGACCAUCUCCUAAGGCUAAAUACUCUCUAGUGACCGAUAGUGAACCAGUACCGUGAGGGAAAGGUGAAAAGUACCCCG
rnacentral:rRNA from 1 species